rnacentral:rRNA from 1 species
AUUGAACGGCUGGCGGCGAUGCUUAACACAUCGCAAGUCGAACGGCAGCACAGAAGAGCUUGCUCUUUGGGGUGGCGAGUGGCGGACGGGUGAGUAACACGUAGGAAUCUACCCAGUAGUGGGGGAUAACCUGGGGAAACCCAGGCUAAUACCGCAUACGCCCUGAGGGGGAAAGCGGGGGGAUCUUCGGGACCUCGCGCUAUUGGAUGAGCCUGCGUCGGAUUAGCUAGUUGGUGGGGUAAGGGCCCACCAAGGCGACGAUCCGUAGCUGGGUCUGAGAGGAUGACCAGUCACACCGGAACUGAGACACGGUCCGGACUCCUACGGGAGGCAGCAGUGGGGAAUAUUGGACAAUGGGCGCAAGCCUGAUCCAGCCCAUGCCGCGUGGGUGAAGAA